ACUUGAAUAUUUUAUUUAAAAUUAUAAUUUGUGGAAUUAUAGAUGUUUGUAUUGACUUUAAGUC
rnacentral:tRNA from 1 species